CAGGAUGAACGCUAGCUACAGGCUUAACACAUGCAAGUCGAGGGGCAGCAUUGGAGUAGCAAUACUUCAGAUGGCGACCGGCGCACGGGUGAGUAACACGUAUCCAACCUGCCGCUUACUCGGGGAUAGCCUUUCAAAAGAAAGAUUAAUACCCGAUGGUAUAAAGAGUUCGCAUGUUCUCUUUAUUAAAGAAUUUCGGUAAGCGAUGGGGAUGCGUUCCAUUAGAUAGUUGGCGGGGUAACGGCCCACCAAGUCUACGAUGGAUAGGGGUUCUGAGAGGAAGGUCCCCCACAUUGGAACUGAGACACGGUCCAAACUCCUACGGGAGGCAGCAGUGAGGAAUAUUGGUCAAUGGACGAGAGUCUGAACCAGCCAAAAGUAGCGUGAAGGAUGACUGCCCUAUGGGUUGUAAACUUCUUUUAUAAGGGAAUAAAGUGAGGGACGUGUCCCUUUUUGUAUGUACCUUAUGAAUAAGGAUCGGCUAACUCCGUGCCAGCCGCCGC
rnacentral:rRNA from 1 species